rnacentral:rRNA from 1 species
AGAGUUUGAUCCUGGCUCAGAUUGAACGCUGGCGGCGAUGCUUUACACAUGCAAGUCGACGGUAACAGGCUUCGGAUGCUGACGAGUGGCGAACGGGUGAGUAACACAUCGGAACGUGCCUAGUAUGGGGGAUAACUACUCGAAAGAGUAGCUAAUACCGCAUGAGAUCUAAGGAUGAAAGCAGGGGACCUUCGGGCCUUGCGCUACUAGAGCGGCUGAUGGCAGAUUAGGUAGUUGGUGGGAUAAAAGCUUACCAAGCCGACGAUCUGUAGCUGGUCUGAGAGGACGACCAGCCACACUGGGACUGAGACACGGCCCAGACUCCUACGGGAGGCAGCAGUGGGGAAUUUUUGGACAAUGGGCGAAAGCCUGAUCCAGCAAUGCCGCGUGUAGGAUGAAGGCCCUCGGGUUGUAAACUACUUUUGUACGGAACGAAAAGACUCUCUCUAAUAAAGAGGGUCCAUGACGGUACCGUAAGAAUAAGCACCGGCUAACUACGUG